AGCGAACGCUGGCGGCGUGCCUAACACAUGCAAGUCGAACGUGAAUGGGAGCAAUCCCUAGUAAAGUGGCGCACGGGUGAGUAACACGUAGGUAAUCUGCCUCUGAGUGGUGGAUAACCUCCCGAAAGGGGGCUAAUACAGCAUAAGACCACGGUUUCGAGAGAAACUGAGGUCAAAGCCGGCCUCUUCAUGAAAGCUGGUGCUCGGAGAUGAGCCUGCGGCCCAUCAUCGGUAGUUGGCGGGGUAAUGGCCCACCAAGCCUAAGACGGGUAGCUGGUCUGAGAGGAUGAUCAGCCACACUGGAACUGAGACACGGUCCAGACUCCUACGGGAGGCAGCAGUGGGGAAUCUUGCGCAAUGGGCGAAAGCCUGACGCAGCGACG
rnacentral:rRNA from 1 species